UACGUAGGUGGCAAGCGUUGUCCGGAAUUACUGGGCGUAAAGGGUACGCAGGCGGAUAUAUAAGUCAAAUGUGAAAGGCACCGGCUCAACCGGUGAGCGGCAUUUGAAACUGUAUAUCUUGAGUUCAGGAGAGGAGAGCGGAAUUCCGGGUGUAGCGGUGAAAUGCGUAGAGAUGUGGAGGAACACCAGUGGCGAAGGCGGCUCUCUGGCCUGAAACUGACGCUCAGGUACGAAAGCUGGGGGAGCGAACGGG
rnacentral:rRNA from 1 species